CCCUUAGAUGUUCUGGGCCGCACGCGCGCUACACUGAAUGGAUCAACGUGUUUUCCCUUCCCGAGAGGGACGGGUAACCCGCUGAACCCCAUUCGUGGUAGGGAUCGGAGCUUGCAAUUAUUCUCCGUGAACCAGGAAUUCCCAGUAAGCGCAAGUCAUAAGCUUGCGUUGAUUACGUCCCUGCCCUUUGUACACACCGCCCGUCGCUACUACCGAUUGGACGUUUUAGUGAGGAUUUUGGACUGAGCCAAUGGUGGUUCACACCACUGUUGUGCAUGGAAAGAUCUCCAAACUUGAGCGUUUAGAGGAAGUAAAAGUCGUAACA
rnacentral:rRNA from 1 species